GGCCACGCGGCGACCAUCCAACGCCCCGGGCGAGGAUAAGAGCGAGCCCGACUGCUCUCUCUCCCUGGCACGCCCGUCCCCUUCCUCCCUCGCGUCACCCUCCUCUCUACAGCCGCAGCUGAGCGCCACCAUCGCCGUGUCGCCAUGGCCACCGGCUACCCCGCGUCACUGGAGCAUGUCCAGGAGGCACAUAGGCGUCGCCUUCAUCGAAUACGACACCGGACCGAGGCGGGGAAACCUCAUCGGCACCGCCGUCGGCUAGUCUUCUUCAUCGGCCUCCGCCACUUCUCGCCAAUGAUUCAUCGCCCAGGUCCACCCCCGGCUCCCCGAGCUCCCCUCUGGCCUCUCGACCCCAAGACCGUUGCCGAUGCCCGUGUGAUCGACUACAUCGGCAAUGUUCCGUAGCUAUCUGCGGAGCUUCCAGUUGCUGCGAUCAGAUGGUGGAUCCUAGGAGCCAGAUGCCACCACUGACGACUAUUACUACUCCCCAAGGGUGCCAACUACUACAUGGAGACCGCCGACGACCAAGAGUAGUUAGGAGGUUCCCAGGCAGGAGGCCUUGCCUUUUUGAUCUAUGAUGAUUUUGUGCUAGCCUUCUUAAGGCAAACUUGUUUAACUUAUGUAUGUACUCAGAUAUUCUUUCUUUCGCUGACUCGUUUAUAUUCGAGCUUAUGUAUUCAAGCCCUCGAGGCCCCUGGCUUGCAAUGUAAGGUUUGUAUUAUUUUAA
rnacentral:rRNA from 1 species